GACACGGCCCAAACUCCUACGGGAGGCAGCAGUAGGGAAUCUUCGGCAAUGGACGAAAGUCUGACCGAGCAACGCCGCGUGAGUGAAGAAGGUUUUCGGAUCGUAAAACUCUGUUGUUAGAGAAGAACAAGGAUGAGAGUAACUGUUCAUCCCUUGACGGUAUCUAACCAGAAAGCCACGGCUAACUACGUGCCAGCAGCCGCGGUAAUACGUAGGUGGCAAGCGUUGUCCGGAUUUAUUGGGCGUAAAGCGAGCGCAGGCGGUUUCUUAAGUCUGAUGUGAAAGCCCCCGGCUCAACCGGGGAGGGUCAUUGGAAACUGGGAGACUUGAGUGCAGAAGAGGAGAGUGGAAUUCCAUGUGUAGCGGUGAAAUGCGUAGAUAUAUGGAGGAACACCAGUGGCGAAGGCGGCUCUCUGGUCUGUAACUGACGCUGAGGCUCGAAAGCGUGGGGAGCAAACAGGAUUAGAUACCCUGGUAGUCCACGCCGUAAACGAUGAGUGCUAAGUGUUGGAGGGUUUCCGCCCUUCAGUGCUGCAGCUAACGCAUUAAGCACUCCGCCUGGGGAGUACGACCGCAAGGUUGAAACUCAAAGGAAUUGACGGGGGCCCGCACAAGCGGUGGAGCAUGUGGUUUAAUUCGAAGCAACGCGAAGAACCUUACCAGGUCUUGACAUCCUUUGACCACUCUAGAGAUAGAGCUUCCCCUUCGGGGGCAAAGUGACAGGUGGUGCAUGGUUGUCGUCAGCUCGUGUCGUGAGAUGUUGGGUUAAGUCCCGCAACGAGCGCAACCCUUAUUGUUAGUUGCCAUCAUUCAGUUGGGCACUCUAGCAAGACUGCCGGUGACAAACCGGAGGAAGGUGGGGAUGACGUCAAAUCAUCAUGCCCCUUAUGACCUGGGCUACACACGUGCUACAAUGGGAAGUACAACGAGUUGCGAAGUCGCGAGGCUAAGCUAAUCUCUUAAAGCUUCUCUCAGUUCGGAUUGCAGGCUGCAACUCGCCUGCAUGAAGCCGGAAUCGCUAGUAAUCGCGGAUCAGCACGCCGCGGUGAAUACGUUCCCGGGCCUUGUACACACCGCCCGUCACACCACGAGAGUUUGUAACACCCGAAGUCGGUGAGGUAACCUUUUUGGAGCCAGCCGCCUAAGGUGGGAUAGAUGAUUGGGGUGAAGUCGUAACAAGGUAGCCGUAUCGGAAGGUGCGGCUGGAUCACCUCCUUUCUAAGGAA
rnacentral:rRNA from 1 species